AACCUAUUUCUGGCUAGAUACUGCUCAAACAGUAGCACUCUCCUCUUAUGGCAUUUUGGGAAAGUGCUACAUUGUUUGGGUACUUUUCAGCCA
rnacentral:pre_miRNA from 1 species